CACGUAGGGGGCGAGCGUUGUCCGGAUUUAUUGGGCGUAAAGAGCUCGUAGGCGGUUUCGUAAGUCGGAUGUGAAAACUCCAGGCUCAACUUGGAGACGCCAUUCGAUACUGCGAUGACUUGAGUCUGGUAGGGGAGUGUGGAAUUCCUGGUGUAGCGGUGAAAUGCGCAGAUAUCAGGAGGAACACCGGCGGCGAAGGCGGCACUCUGGGCCGGUACUGACGCUGAGGAGCGAAAGCGUGGGUAGCAAACAGG
rnacentral:rRNA from 1 species